rnacentral:rRNA from 1 species
AUGGAAAACAAGGUCUCUCAGCCUACAGAAGAUGGACAGGAAUCGAACUCUGCGACGGAGGCUGUAGCUGAAGUGCUUGCUAAGAACACUAAGAAGCCAAGGCUUCUUCAGCAUGUGGGGAUCCAGCAUGUCCAUGCGAGAUCUAGCGAUAGCAACUAUGAAGCAGAAUUGGCAAAGAGGGGCAAUGUCGAGCUUCGGGCACUUGUUGACACCUUGACCAAGCAGUUGAAGGAGUCCGAAGAAGCAAGGACCAGGCAAGAUGAGGAGCAUAGGAAGAGAGAUGAGGAGAACAGGAAGAAGCAAGCUGAGAUGGAUGCAAAAAACUGGACUUUUUGCUAA